GAAAGAUCAUUAUUUGCUGAUGCAACCAGAGCCUGCUGCCGUAGUACCUGAUUCUCAGAUUCUAGGUUGGACAAGUUCAAUUCUAAUCUUUCAAUGGUCUCUUGGAGUUGCAUUGCUUUAAGCUGUGCUUCUUCUGCCUCUCUUAGUCUUGUGUUGCUCUGGUUUUCUAGUUUACUACACUUGUCUUCAAAUUCCUCCAUUUUCAUCUUCAUCUCUCUUAGCUUAUCCUCCAGUUCCUCAUUUUGAUUCCUUAGUAACUCUAUUUUGGUGUUGUCCACAAUCGGAACCUCUUUGAUGACUGAUGGGGCUUGUUCUAUAGCCAACUUUGCUGCUUCUUUCUCCCGGAUAAUUGCAGCAUAGGCUUCAUCCAGCUCUCCUUGCAUUUCAUGCAGUGCAUUUUGUAACUUUGCAAUUUCUUGCCCUUUGGCUUCUUCGAGAUCAAUCCUCAAGUGCUUUUCAAAUUCCAGUCGCCAUGUUAACUCUUCAACGCGCUUCUCUAGUUUGUCCUUAGCUUCUUUAAGUGCCCCUGUUUCUCUUGCAGCCAUCCUCAGCUUUCUAAGCUCCUUUCUUGCUACCUUUGCUCUCCAGAGACAUUGAAGUGUAAGAGUUGCUUUCUUUUGCUGUUUAUAAGCAGAAAGAGCUUGGAACCUUCUCCAUUGAGUCUGAAUAAUAGUUGCAGCCUUUGUUCUUCUUCUGUAUCUAUAUUCAUUUCGUGCUGCCAUUGCACGUAAUCCAGUUUGAAUGAAUAUUGCUGAUGUCUGUAAAUUUGUGUAAAAUCUUCUUGCUGUAUGAGCACGAACAUUUUUUUGUAGACGGAUGGAGGCUGCUUCUUCUCUCAUCUGUUCAUAUAGCUUACGUGCAAGUUGUGCUCUCCAGAGUUUUUGCAUAUGGACUGAAGCCCUCCGUAGGCCUAUGAAUUCCUUUCUGGUUAGAAGUGUUCGAAUUUGUCUUUGGAUUCGUCUAGCAGAACUAGCCAAGACCUCAGUUCUUCGUGCAUCUAACUCAGCCAUCUGCCCAGCUCUAAGGAACACCUUUGUUUUCCCCAUCUGGUAACCCCUUAAACCCAUCCUCUCCAAGAUGGCAAUGCAUGCUGAUUUUUCAUCUGACCCUUCUAGAACAUCAGGAGUAAGCAUUCCAAAACGAUCAAGGAACUCAUCAAAUGUUCUUUUUGUUGGAUACCCAGCACAACUUAUCCUAAUUGCCUCCAGUACACCCCCGCAUCUUAAUUGGUUUAACACGUUGAAGUUCUCAAAUAUUCCAGGCCUCAAAAGUGUAUUUGGCUUUACACAUCUGAUAUAAUGUGGCUCUGUUGUGUUCAGUGUCUCCAUUAAAGCUUGUAAUUGUUGCUUGAAGCGGAUACCAAUGGAAGAGAACUUGGAUUGCUUGGAUGUCUCUUCAGGUAAUGGAGGGAAAAGAUUAGCAACAAAAGGGCAUUUGGAUGCAUUUAACAAGGCUUGAUGCUCUGCUACGACAUAAUCUUUAUUUUUAUCAAGAAAUUGAUCAGCUUGGUACGUAACAUCUCCUGCAUAGUGAUUGAUUGUGAAGUCUGUUCGAGCAAGUUUUGGCUUGCUGAAGCGUCUGUGUCCCUUGUAUGUCUGGUACAUCUUCUGUGCAAAUGUCUCAUGAGU
rnacentral:misc_RNA from 1 species